rnacentral:misc_RNA from 1 species
AACGCACCUUGCGCUCCUUGGUAUUCCGAGGAGCAUGCCUGUUUGAGUGUCGUGAAAUUCUCAACCUUUCAAGCUUUUAAUGUUUAAAGGCUAGUCAGGCUUGGAUUCUGGGAAUUGCUGGGUUCUUCAAUGAAGUCAGCUCUCCUUAAAUGUAUUAGCAAGAUUAAUCGCUGGAUCACUUGUGAUAUGAUAAUUAUCUAUAUCAUCAAUGAGACGGUGUUUUCCUUCACGGGAAAGAUCUAGCUUCUAAUCGUCUCUUCAGAGACAAUUCAUUGACUAUUUGACCUCAAAUCAGGUAGGACUACCCGCUGAACUUAA